rnacentral:tRNA from 1 species
GCCCGCGUAGCAUAGCUGGUUAUUGCGCCCGAUUCGUAAUCGGGAGGUCGUGUGUUCGAAUCACACCGCGGGCACCA